GUGGAUAUAGCUCAGUGGUAGAGCACAUGUUUAGCAUGCACAAGGUCCUGGAUUCAAUCCCCAGUACCUCCA
rnacentral:tRNA from 1 species